AAUACAGCGGCGUAUCGGAUUAUUGGGCGUAAGAGCUCGUAGGCGGUUUGUCGCGUCUGCUGUGAAAGACCGGGGCUCAACUCCGGUUCUGCAGUGGGUACGGGCAGACUAGAGUGCAGUAGGGGAGACUGGAAUUCCUGGUGUAGCGGUGAAAUGCGCAGAUAUCAGGAGGAACACCGAUGGCGAAGGCAGGUCUCUGGGCUGUAACUGACGCUGAGGAGCGAAAGCAUGGGGAGCGAACAGGAUUAGAUACCCUGGUAGUCCAUGCCGUAAACGUUGGGCACUAGGUGUGGGGGACAUUCCACGUUUUCCGCGCCGUAGCUAACGCAUUAAGUGCCCCGCCUGGGGAGUACGGCCGCAAGGCUAAAACUCAAAGGAAUUGACGGGGGCCCGCACAAGCGGCGGAGCAUGCGGAUUAAUUCGAUGCAACGCGAAGAACCUUACCAAGGCUUGACAUGAACCGGUAAUACCUGGAAACAGGUGCCCCGCUUGCGGUCGGUUUACAGGUGGUGCAUGGUUGUCGUCAGCUCGUGUCGUGAGAUGUUGGGUUAAGUCCCGCAACGAGCGCAACCCUCGUUCUAUGUUGCCAGCGCGUUAUGGCGGGGACUCAUAGGAGACUGCCGGGGUCAACUCGGAGGAAGGUGGGGACGACGUCAAAUCAUCAUGCCCCUUAUGUCUUGGGCUUCACGCAUGCUACAAUGGCCGGUACAAAGGGUUGCGAUACUGUGAGGUGGAGCUAAUCCCAAAAAGCCGGUCUCAGUUCGGAUUGGGGUCUGCAACUCGACCCCAUGAAGUCGGAGUCGCUAGUAAUCGCAGAUCAGCAACGCUGCGGUGAAUACGUUCCCGGGCCUUGUACACACCGCCCGUCAAGUCACGAAAGUUGGUAACACCCGAAGCCGGUGGCCUAACCCUUGUGGGGGGAGCCGUCGAAGUGGGACCGGCGAUUGGGACUAAGUCGUACCACAAAGGUAGC
rnacentral:rRNA from 1 species